UACGGAGGGUGCGAGCGUUUGUCCGGAAUCACUGGGCGUAAAGGGCGCGUAGGCGGCGCGAGUAGUCAACGGUGAAAGCCCGGGGCUCAACCCCGGGUCGGCCGUCGAUACUCUCGUGCUUGAGCACUGUAGAGGCAGGUGGAAUUCCGGGUGUAGCGGUGGAAUGCGUAGAGAUCCGGAAGAACACCGGUGGCGAAGGCGGCCUGCUGGGCAGUAGCUGACGCUGAGGCGCGACAGCGUGGGGAGCAAACAGG
rnacentral:rRNA from 1 species